UCGUGAGGAGGGGCGGGCCGCCCUUUCUGCGCAUGCUCGGAGCUUCUGCGCGUGCUCGGAGCCGCUCGCGUACGAGUCUUCGGGUCCGGCCUCCGCUUGCACUUGGAGGGAUCCCACAGGAGCUGUCAGCAGAUGCUAGCCCAGGGGAGCCCUUUCUGCCCAAGUGUGCCCGGCGGAGACCGGUCCCGGGGUCGCACUAGAGGUCCAGAGAGCUUACGUCACUUUCUGAAGUCCUGCAGGCGCUGUGGGGGCAGGUGCUAUGCAGCUGAGCUACAUCCCAGG